rnacentral:rRNA from 3 species
UACGAAGGGUGCAAGCGUUACUCGGAAUUACUGGGCGUAAAGCGUGCGUAGGCGGUUUGUUAAGUCUGCCGUGAAAGCCCCGGGCUCAACCUGGGAAUUGCGGUGGAUACUGGCAGGCUAGAGUACGGUAGAGGAUGGUGGAAUUCCCGGUGUAGCAGUGAAAUGCGUAGAGAUCGGGAGGAACAUCUAUGGCGAAGGCAGCCAUCUGGACCAGUACUGACGCUGAGGCACGAAAGCGUGGGGAGCAAACAGG